rnacentral:rRNA from 1 species
GGGAACAUACCCUUUUCUACGGAAUAGCUCUGGGAAACUGGAGUUAAUACCGUAUACGCCCUACGGGGGAAAGAUUUAUCGGGGAAGGAUUGGCCCGCGUUGGAUUAGCUAGUUGGUGGGGUAAAGGCCUACCAAGGCGACGAUCCAUAGCUGGUCUGAGAGGAUGAUCAGCCACAUUGGGACUGAGACACGGCCCAAACUCCUACGGGAGGCAGCAGUGGGGAAUAUUGGACAAUGGGCGCAAGCCUGAUCCAGCCAUGCCGCGUGAGUGAUGAAGGCCUUAGGGUUGUAAAGCUCUUUUGUCCGGGACGAUAAUGACGGUACCGGAAGAAUAAGCCCCGGCUAACUUCGUGCCAGCAGCCGCGGUAAUACGAAGGGGGCUAGCGUUGCUCGGAAUCACUGGGCGUAAAGGGCGCGUAGGCGGCCGAUUAAGUCGGGGGUGAAAGCCUGUGGCUCAACCGCAGAAUUGCCUUCGAUACUGGUUGGCUUGAGACCGGAAGAGGACAGCGGAACUGCGAGU